CGGGAGGCAGCAGUGGGGGAAUAUUGGACAAUGGGCGAAAGCCUGAUCCAGCCAUGCCGCGUGUGUGAAGAAGGUCUUCGGAUUGUAAAGCACUUUAAGUUGGGAGGAAGGGCAGUUACCUAAUACGUGAUUGUUUUGACGUUACCGACAGAAUAAGCACCGGCUAACUCUGUGCCAGCAGCCGCGGUAAUACAGAGGGUGCAAGCGUUAAUCGGAAUUACUGGGCGUAAAGCGCGCGUAGGUGGUUAGUUAAGUUGGAUGUGAAAUCCCCGGGCUCAACCUGGGAACUGCAUUCAAAACUGACUGACUAGAGUAUGGUAGAGGGUGGUGGAAUUUCCUGUGUAGCGGUGAAAUGCGUAGAUAUAGGAAGGAACACCAGUGGCGAAGGCGACCACCUGGACUGAUACUGACACUGAGGUGACGAAAGCGUGGGGAGCAAACAGGAUUAGAUACCCUGGUAG
rnacentral:rRNA from 1 species